rnacentral:rRNA from 1 species
AGUGAACGCUGGCGGUAGGCCUAACACAUGCAAGUCGAACGGCAGCACAGUAAGAGCUUGCUCUUACGGGUGGCGAGUGGCGGACGGGUGAGGAAUACAUCGGAAUCUACUUUUUCGUGGGGGAUAACGUAGGGAAACUUACGCUAAUACCGCAUACGACCUACGGGUGAAAGCAGGGGAUCUUCGGACCUUGCGCGAUUGAAUGAGCCGAUGUCGGAUUAGCUAGUUGGCGGGGUAAAGGCCCACCAAGGCGACGAUCCGUAGCUGGUCUGAGAGGAUGAUCAGCCACACGGGAACUGAGACACGGUCCAGACUCCUACGGGAGGCAGCAGUGGGGAAUAUUGGACAAUGGGCGCAGGCCUGAUCCAGCCAUACCGCGUGGGUGAAGAAGGCCUUCGGGUUGUAAAGCCCUUUUGUUGGGAAAGAAAAGCAGCAGGUUAAUACCCCGCUGUUCUGACGGUACCCAAAGAAUAAGCACCGGCUAACUUCGUG